rnacentral:rRNA from 1 species
AUUGAACGCUGGCGGCAUGCUUUACACAUGCAAGUCGAACGGCAGCGCGGGCUUCGGCCUGGCGGCGCGUGGCGAACGGGUGAGUAAUACAUCGGAACGUGCCCAGUAGUGGGGGAUAGCUCGGCGAAAGCCGGAUUAAUACCGCAUACGACCUGAGGGUGAAAGCGGGGGAUCUUCGGACCUCGCGCUAUUGGAGCGGCCGAUGGCAGAUUAGCUAGUUGGUUGGGUAAAGGCCUACCAAGGGGACGAUCUGUAGCUGGUCUGCGAGGACGAGCGGCCACACGGGGACUGAGACACGGCCCAGACUCCUACGGGAGGCAGCAGUGGGGAAUGUUGGACAAUGGGCGAAAGCCUGAUCCAGCAAUGCCGCGUGUGUGAUGAAGGCCUUCGGGUUGUAAAGCACUUUUGGCGGGAACGAAAAGGACUGUGCCAAUACCACGGUUCGAUGACGGUACCCGCAGAAUAAGCACCGGCUAACUACGUG